UACGAAGGGGGCGAGCGUUGUUCGGAUUUACUGGGCGUAAAGGGCGCGUAGGCGGCCUUGUCAGUCAGGCGUGAAAGCCCCGGGCUCAACCUGGGAACGGCGCUUGGGACGGCGAGGCUGGAGUUCGGGAGAGGAGAGUGGAAUUCCCAGUGUAGAGGUGAAAUUCGUAGAUAUUGGGAGGAACACCGGUGGCGAAGGCGGCUCUCUGGACCGACACUGACGCUGAGGCGCGAAAGCGUGGGGAGCAAACAGG
rnacentral:rRNA from 1 species